AAAGGAAUAGACGGGGACCCGCACAAGCGGUGGAUUAUGUGGUUUAAUUCGAUGCAACGCGAAGAACCUUACCAAGCCUUGACAUCUUCGGCAAAGCUCUGGAGACAGAGCGGAGGAUAUCCGAAAGACAGGUGGUGCAUGGUUGUCGUCAGCUCGUGUCGUGAGAUGUUGGGUUAAGUCCCGCAACGAGCGCAACCCCUGUCUUCAGUUACCAUCAUUAAGUUGGGGACUCUGGAGAGACUGCCGGUGACAAACCGGAGGAAGGUGGGGAUGACGUCAAAUCAGCAUGCCCCUUAUGGCUUGGGCUACACACGUAAUACAAUGGCGCAUACAAAGGGCAGCAAUCCCGCGAGGGUGAGCGAAUCUCAGAAAGUGCGUCUCAGUUCGGAUUGGAGUCUGCAACUCGACUCCAUGAAGUCGGAAUCGCUAGUAAUCGUGGAUCAGCAUGCCACGGUGAAUACGUUCCCGGGUCUUGUACACACCGCCCGU
rnacentral:rRNA from 1 species